rnacentral:rRNA from 1 species
UACGUAGGGUGCAAGCGUUAAUCGGAAUUACUGGGCGUAAAGCGUGCGCAGGCGGUUUUUCAAGACCGAUGUGAAAUCCCCGGGCUUAACCUGGGAAUGGCAUUGGUGACUGCACGGCUAGAGUGUGUCAGAGGGGGGUAGAAUUCCACGUGUAGCAGUGAAAUGCGUAGAGAUGUGGAGGAAUACCGAUGGCGAAGGCAGCCCCCUGGGAUAACACUGACGCUCAUGCACGAAAGCGUGGGGAGCAAACAGG